GAGUUUGAUCAUGGCUCAGAUUGAACGCUGGCGGCAGGCCUAACACAUGCAAGUCGAACGGUAACAGGAAGAAGCUUGCUUCUUUGCUGACGAGUGGCGGACGGGUGAGUAAUGUCUGGGAAACUGCCUGAUGGAGGGGGAUAACUACUGGAAACGGUAGCUAAUACCGCAUAACGUCGCAAGACCAAAGAGGGGGACCUUCGGGCCUCUUGCCAUCGGAUGUGCCCAGAUGGGAUUAGCUAGUAGGUGGGGUAACGGCUCACCUAGGCGACGAUCCCUAGCUGGUCUGAGAGGAUGACCAGCCACACUGGAACUGAGACACGGUCCAGACUCCUACGGGAGGCAGCAGUGGGGAAUAUUGCACAAUGGGCGCAAGCCUGAUGCAGCCAUGCCGCGUGUAUGAAGAAGGCCUUCGGGUUGUAAAGUACUUUCAGCGGGGAGGAAGGGAGUAAAGUUAAUACCUUUGCUCAUUGACGUUACCCGCAGAAGAAGCACCGGCUAACUCCGUGCCAGCAGCCGCGGUAAUACGGAGGGUGCAGGCGUUAAUCGGAAUUACUGGGCGUAAAGCGCACGCAGGCGGUUUGUUAAGUCAGAUGUGAAAUCCCCGGGCUCAACCUGGGAACUGCAUCUGAUACUGGCAAGCUUGAGUCUCGUAGAGGGGGGUAGAAUUCCAGGUGUAGCGGUGAAAUGCGUAGAGAUCUGGAGGAAUACCGGUGGCGAAGGCGGCCCCCUGGACGAAGACUGACGCUCAGGUGCGAAAGCGUGGGGAGCAAACAGGAUUAGAUACCCUGGUAGUCCACGCCGUAAACGAUGUCGACUUGGAGGUUGUGCCCUUGAGGCGUGGCUUCCGGAGCUAACGCGUUAAGUCGACCGCCUGGGGAGUACGGCCGCAAGGUUAAAACUCAAAUGAAUUGACGGGGGCCCGCACAAGCGGUGGAGCAUGUGGUUUAAUUCGAUGCAACGCGAAGAACCUUACCUGGUCUUGACAUCCACGGAAGUUUUCAGAGAUGAGAAUGUGCCUUCGGGAACCGUGAGACAGGUGCUGCAUGGCUGUCGUCAGCUCGUGUUGUGAAAUGUUGGGUUAAGUCCCGCAACGAGCGCAACCCUUAUCCUUUGUUGCCAGCGGUCCGGCCGGGAACUCAAAGGAGACUGCCAGUGAUAAACUGGAGGAAGGUGGGGAUGACGUCAAGUCAUCAUGGCCCUUACGACCAGGGCUACACACGUGCUACAAUGGCGCAUACAAAGAGAAGCGACCUCGCGAGAGCAAGCGGACCUCAUAAAGUGCGUCGUAGUCCGGAUUGGAGUCUGCAACUCGACUCCAUGAAGUCGGAAUUGCUAGUAAUCGUGGAUCAGAAUGCCACGGUGAAUACGUUCCCGGGCCUUGUACACACCGCCCGUCACACCAUGGGAGUGGGUUGCAAAAGAAGUAGGUAGCUUAACCUUCGGGAGGGCGCUUACCACUUUGUGAUUCAUGACUGGGGUGAAGUCGUAACAAGGUA
rnacentral:rRNA from 1 species